CGAGUAUUUGGUUUUCCGUCCGUGAAAUAUGCGUUUGCAGAUGAAGGGCUUCGCUGAAAUGCCAAGAUAACCAGAAGAAUUAUUGAUUUAACCACUCAGUUCUUUGAGGUAAAGAGGUACGUCGGUAUCGUUAAACGUGAAUAAAUAAACGGGUAUAAUUGAAAUAACGUCGAUAAAGUAAGUGCGUAUACAAAGCGUUGUGUCAAUUUAAACCUGAAAAUCUGUACAUCGAUUUCAUAUACUUGCAACCGGGUCUAUUCAGUAUGUCCUGCCCUUUUUUUUUUCCCCCCGGUAUUCGAGCACGCCACUGAAAAUAAUAAUCAUAAUGAACGGUUAGGUCGAGAAUCGUUC